GACGAGGUGUCGGCGCGGGAGCAGCACUUCCACAGCCAAGUGCGGGAGUCCACGAUGGAGUCUCACUCUGUCGCCAGGUUGGAGUGCAGUGGCACAAUCUCAAGGCUCACUGCAACCUCCGCCUCCCGGGUUCAGGCAAUUCUCCUGCCUCAGCCUCCCGAGUAGCUGGGACUACAGGCGAGCGUCACCACACCCAGCUAAUUUCUGUACUUUUAGUAGAGACGGGGUUUCACCAUGUUGGCCAGAAUGGUCUCAAUCUCUUGACCUCGUGAUCUGCCGCCUCGGCCUCCCAAAGUGCUGGGAUUACAGGCGUGAGCCACCGCGCCCAGCCUAGUGUUUAACUUUUAAAUACUCAUGUAAUAAUUUUGUCUUUUGUAUUAUGAAUAUCUCAUAGUUCUCUUGUCAGUUGCUUUAGUGAUCAUAUUUGACUUUGGCUAUUAGUAUCAGGUAGUAAUGAUUGAUUUCCUUUCUUUUGAGAGCUAGCUAUGAAAUCCUAAGGCUGCCAGCUAACUGAGUAUACCCUCUCUUGGCUAAGGGGACCCCAGGAAACCUUAAAAACUGAAUUCCCAACCAGAAUGGGAUGGGACAUCUGACACGCCUCAGUAUACCCCCUCCCUUUUGAGGUUUAAACACAGCUGACCAGCAUUAAUGUUAAAAUAGAGAUCUGAAGACUGAGAGAACAGACUCUUUGUGGCAAUAAAAUACCCAACUGUGAACAAAAUGUAGGGCCAUGCCAGGCAAGGGUUAAGUAAAGCAUCCCCUUAAAGAAUAAACUGGUUCUAACUG
rnacentral:lncRNA from 1 species